CAUGGGCAACUGGUGUCCAAGGGGGACUGGCCUCCAUGGGCAACUGGUCUCAUGGGCAGCUGGUCUCCACGGGCAACGGGUCUCCAUGGAUGAUUGGUCUCCACGGGCAACUGGUCUCCACGGGAGGCUGGUCUCUCUCGGCAUCGGGUCUCCAGGUCAACUGAGUCACCGGUCAGGGCAACGGCCUGGAGUCAGAGCCGGCCUGAGGCCGUGUGACUUCCCCGGGGGUCCCCAAGAAGCCAAUCGCAAUCUGGUGGACACUGAAGGUAUGCAGACAACAGCAAAGAUUUACAGAAACAUUUACUCGUCCUCCUGCAUUCCCCACCCCCGAGGGGCUGCAGGGAAUGGUCGGGGAGUGGGGCGUGGGAUGACUGGGUCCCGCGGGCUCCCCACCCCGCCCCUCUGGCUGAGACCCAACAGGCAAGUGCCGUCGGGGACGAGAAGGACAGUCCACCCCUCUCUCCCGGGCAGAGCCCCCUCCGGCCUCAUCUCGGCCAGAGAGGCCUUGAGGGCAAAGGUCGGCGCAAAGACUGAACGCGGAACUGACACGUUCGGUCGUCGCUCCUGUUUAAUACGGGGGCUAUGAACAUAUACAUCGUAAAAAUAAGUUCAUUGGCGGAAUAAAUACACUUUCUGAAUAUGAACACAUAUCUUACAGAGCCCCAUAGCACUAUGGGAAAUAAAGACCCUUCUACAAAAAGAA